rfam:Folsomia candida strain VT population Fcan01_Sc053, whole genome shotgun sequence.
GCCUCUGUAGCUCAGUGGUAGAGCAACUGCCCGGCAAGCAGUGGUCCCGGGUUCGUUUCCCGGCUGGGGUU